rnacentral:rRNA from 1 species
CACGCAGGCGGUCAUAUAAGUCAGCUGUUAAAUGUAUGGGCUUAACCGAUGCAUGCGGUUGAAACUGUAUGGCUGGAGUACUGGAGAGGUAAGCGGAAUUCCCGGUGUAGCGGUGAAAUGCGUAGAUAUCGGGAAGAACACCAGUGGCGAAGGCGGCUUACUGGCCAGUUACUGACGCUGAGGUGCGAAAGCCAGGGGAGCGAACC